rnacentral:rRNA from 1 species
GAUGAACGCUGGCGGCGUGCCUAAUACAUGCAAGUCGAGCGAACAGAUGAUGAGCUUGCUCCUCUGACGUUAGCGGCGGACGGGUGAGUAACACGUGGAUAACCUACCUAUUAUACUUGUAUAACUUCGUGAAACCGGAUCUAAUACCGUAUAAUAUAUUGAACCGCAUGGUUCAAUAGUUAAAUACGGUUUUUCUGUCUCUUAUAGAUGGAUCCGCGCCGCAUUAGCUAGUUGGUAAGGUAACGGCUUACCAAGGCAACGAUGCGUAUCCGACAUGAGAGGGGGAUAGGAAAAACUGGAACUGAGACACGGAAAAGAAGACGACGGGAGGCAGCAGAAGGGAAGAGGACGCAAGGGGCGAAAGCAUGACGGAGAAAAGCCGAGUGAGUGAUGAAGGUGUACGGAUCGUAAAACUAUGUUAUGAGGGAAGAACAAAAGUGGAAGUAAAUAUGCACGUAUUGACGGUAACUAAUCAGAAAGCAACGGCUAACUACGUG